UACAGAGGUCCCAAGCGUUGUUCGGAUUCACUGGGCGUAAAGGGCGCGUAGGCGGUGCGGUAAGUCACCUGUGAAACCUCUGGGCUCAACUCAGAGCCUGCAGGCGAAACUGCCGUGCUGGAGUGUGGGAGAGGUGCGUGGAAUUCCCGGUGUAGCGGUGAAAUGCGUAGAUAUCAGGAGGAACACCUGUGGCGAAAGCGGCUCACUGGACCAUAACUGACGCUGAUGCACGAAAGCUAGGGGAGCAAACAGG
rnacentral:rRNA from 1 species